rnacentral:rRNA from 1 species
UACCAGACUCCUACGGGAGGCAGCAGUGGGGGAUAUUGCACAAUGGGGGGAACCCUGAUGCAGCGACGCCGCGUGAGCGAUGAAGUAUUUCGGUGUAUAAAGCUCUAUCAGCAGGGAAGAAGAUGACGGUACCUGACUAAGAAGCCCCGGCUAACUACGUGCCAGCAGCCGCGGUAAUACGUAGGGGGCAAGCGUUAUCCGGAUUUACUGGGUGUAAAGGGAGCGUAGACGGCGAUGCAAGCCAGAUGUGAAAGCCCGGGGCUCAACCCCGGGACUGCAUUUGGAACUGUGUGGCUGGAGUGUCGGAGAGGCAGGCGGAAUUCCUAGUGUAGCGGUGAAAUGCGUAGAUAUUAGGAGGAACACCAGUGGCGAAGGCGGCCUGCUGGACGAUGACUGACGUUGAGGCUCGAAAGCGUGGGGAGCAAACAGGAUUAGAUACCCGUGUAC